rnacentral:RNase_P_RNA from 3 species
AGACCAGCCGGGGCAAUUGCUGUCCCAUUCGGGAGAGAGGAAAGUCCGAACUUCGCAGAACAGGAUGCCGGGUAACGCCCGGGAGUUAGAAGCGUAAGUUUUUAACUACGGAAAGUGCCGCAGAAAAUAUACCGUCCCGCGUUAGCGGGAUAAGGGUGAAAUGGCAGGGUAAGAGCCUACCGCGGUAAUGGUAACAUUGCCGGUCCCUUUUGGGAUUUCGCUUAACGGCGGAACAAGGCAAACCCCAUCCGAAGCAAGGUCAAGCAGGAAGUCUUUCCACUUUUGUGGAACAAGGUUGUUCGCCCUGCACGGCUUCCGGGUAGACCGCUUGAGGUAUGAAGCAAUUCAUAUCCUAGAUAAAUAAUUGCCUUCCCUGCUUGCAGGGGAUACAGAAUUCGGCUUAUACGGUUGUUCUAUUU